UACGUAGGGAGCAAGCGUUGUCCGGAAUCAUUGGGCGUAAGGCGCGCGUAGGUGGCCUCAUAAGUCCGCUGUGAAAGUCAAAGGCUCAACCUUUGAAAGCCGGUGGAUACUGUGGGGCUAGAGUACGGAAGAGGCGAGUGGAAUUCCUGGUGUAGCGGUGGAAUGCGCAGAUAUCAGGAGGAACACCAAUAGCGAAGGCAGCUCGCUGGGACGUUACUGACACUGAGGCGCGAAAGCGUGGGGAGCGAACAGG
rnacentral:rRNA from 1 species